CUUUCAGCNAUGGAUAUCUUGG
rnacentral:rRNA from 1 species